rnacentral:ncRNA from 1 species
ACCUGGGCUUCCAUUUCACGAUCAGAAAGGCCACCGCAAAUCUGGAUGAUACGGUCAGACAGCGUCGACUUACCGUGGUCGAUAUGUGCAAUGAUCGAAAAGUUACGUAUAUUCUUCAUAUAUUAAGAUAAUUAUGCCUUACGAAUACUUUGAGGCCGCUGUUCUGUGCCUGACGUUUGUGUCGUUCGAAAACGCCGCAUUCUACACUACAACUGCGCAACCAGGAAAUGCUCUUCCAGCAAGCAUAGCGGUUCCGCUCACGGCUUUCUCAUACCAGAUGUAAAUAAAAAUAAAGCCAGUGCGAUCACUGGCUCAAUUCAGAAGAAGUUGAGGUGCGCAGGAGAUCUGGCGGCAGGCCAACGCUAAUAAUGACCGGUUGCCACGUUUCGCGUUUCGCAAGCGUCGGCGAAAAACCGCGCGCCAACAAAAAGCCGCCCACACCGCCUAACAGCGCCCCGCACAUGGCGGCGAUAUCUGUGCCAAACAACACCUGGAACAGAGAGGCCAUGAUAAACAGCCCUACAAGCGGUGACAGGUAAACCAGCAUAGCCGAGCCCAGUAGGCUGCUUUCGCUGAUUCCCAGUUCCACUUUUUGCCCUGCCACCAACGGUUCGGCGCUGGGGACGAUAAUGGUGUGGCUGGUUUGUGGCCCCAGCUUAUUCAGCACGCGACUGCCGCAGCCCGCGCGUGACGCGCAGCUGCUGCAUGAGGCUUUCACGUCACAGUGAACUUUCGCUACGCCGUUCUCCCAGGAGACAACGGUCGCCCACUCUUUAAUCAUUGUGCGCCCUUGAAGCUAAUACCGUCGGCAAUACGU